UCAGCUCCCAGCGGGGUCCUGUCCCAGGUGCAGCUGCGGGAGUCGGGACCCAGCCUGGUGAAGCCCUCACAGACCCUCUCCCUCACCUGCGCUGUCUCUGGAUUCUCACUAAGCAGCUAUGCUGUAAACUGGGUCCGCCAGGCUCCAGGGAAGGCGCUGGAGUGGGUUGGUACAAUAGAUAAUAGUGGAAGCACAUACUACAACCCAGCCCUGAAAUCCCGGCUCAGCAUCACCAGGGACACCUCCAAGAGCCAAGUCUCCCUCUCACUGAGCAGCGUGACACCUGAGGACACGGCCGUGUAUUACUGUGCAAGAUACACAGUGAGUGGAAGUCAGAGUGAGCCCAGACAAAAACCUCCCUGCAUGGGCGCCCGGACCACCAGGGGGCGCUCAGGGCCCCCCACGUUCAGGACUGCGCCCAGGAGCAG